UGGAUCACUAAUGAGCAAAUUAAUCUAUCAUAGAUAGUUAAGAUGACACUUGGCUUAAACUGUGUCGCACUAAGAAAUUCAACCUGUGUCGCACUAAGAAAUUCAGCUAUGAUGACAUUGCAUAAAAUGCUUAAACUGUGUAGCACUAAGAAAUUCAACAUUGCCUGGAAUAUUCCAUAGCAUGUCUGGCCAAUAUCCAAAAAGGCCCACGUGAUGAACAGAGGGAAUUGGUGCCAACAAAUGUAUGGAAAGAUAAGAGUAGGGACAUAGAUAGAAUAAGAUACCGCACGUGUCUGGCAUGAGGCUUGAGUGGUCACGACUGGCCUGAUCAACCAUACUGAUUACUUAAUGUGCAUGACAAGAUACAUGCUGGGAUGCACUGAUAAGAAAUCUUGGAAAAGUUACAAACUUGCUAAAAGGUAUAAAAGACGGAGAAACUUGGCACUCACUUGGAGAACUACCCACCUGUAAUGCGGACGCGUGUUGCUGGUCUCUGCUGUUCCCAGAGAGGGUCGCUCCAUGCCGACUGCCAGAGUUCCCCCAGUCACGUGCAGUGAGGACACAACAAAACCCCUCUAAUAGUGAUGUAUACUUAAGCUGAUAUAUCCGGAUGCUAAGCUGUUUUGAAGU